rnacentral:rRNA from 1 species
UACGGGGGGGCGAGCGUUGUUCGGAAUUACUGGGCGUAAAGGGUUUGUAGGUGGCCAACUAAGUCAGACGUGAAAUCCCUCAGCUUAACUGGGGAACUGCGUCUGAUACUGGUUGGCUUGAGUGCAGGAGAGGAGCGCGGAAUUCCAGGUGUAGCGGUGAAAUGCGUAGAUAUCUGGAGGAACACCGGUGGCGAAGGCGGCGUUCUGGACUGCAACUGACACUGAGAAACGAAAGCCAGGGUAGCAAACGGG